CUACGGGGUGCUCCAGUGAGGAAUUUUGCGCAAUGGGGGAAACCCUGACGCAGCAACGCCGCGUGAGCGAAGAAGGCCCUCGGGUCGUAAAGCUCUGUCAAGUGGGAAAAAAAUUUUUUGAUCAAUAGUCAAAAGACUUGAUGGUACCACUGGAGGAAGCACCGGCUAACUCCGUGCCAGCAGCCGCGGUAAUACGGGGGGUGCGAGCGUUGUUCGGAUUUACUGGGCGUAAAGAGCGUGUAGGCGGUUUAGCAAGUCAGAUGUGAAAGCCCUGGGCUCAACCCGGGAAGUGCAUUUGAAACUGCUUCACUAGAGUAUGGGAGAGGAGAUUGGAAUUCCUGGUGUAGAGGUGAAAUUCGUAGAUAUCAGGAGGAACACCCGUGGCGAAGGCGAUUCUCUGGACCAAUACUGACGCUGAGACGCGAAAGCGUGGGGAGCAAACAGGAUUAGAUACCCUAGUAGUC
rnacentral:rRNA from 1 species